ensembl:lncRNA
AUUCGCCGUAAUACAGCUCAUCAGCUUCCGGUUCCAAGAUGGCAACGUUCUACACCCGGUGUUUACAGGAGCUGCCGACAAUAAAUAUCACAGAUGUGCAUCGUUUAUGUCGGGAAACAAAAACUCCGACAAGCAGAUUGGAGAAGGGGUUUAGGCUGUAUGCUUCGACCUACAUUCACAGCUACGAAGUGUCCAAUAAAGACAAGCUGACAGUGCAGGUCAGCGUGAGAGCCUUGUGCUACAGGUCGAUGGGGAAGAGCGAGGCACCACAGUUUGAGUCUAGGCAGGAAGCUGUGUUCAUCCCUGUUCAGUGGUGUUUGUUCGGUUAAGCAGUAGCUAAGUGUAGUCCUCAAGGGCCACCAACUUGAAUGUUUUUCAUGUCUCCCUGUUUUUCAC